rnacentral:rRNA from 1 species
UACGUAGGGGGCUAGCGUUGUCCGGAAUCAUUGGGCGUAAAGCGCGUGUAGGCGGUCCGGUAAGUCCGCUGUGAAAGUCGAGGGCUCAACCCUCGAAUGCCGGUGGAUACUGUCGGGCUUGAGUACGGGAGAGGCGAGUGGAAUUCCUGGUGUAGCGGUGAAAUGCGCAGAUAUCAGGAGGAACGCCGAUUGCGAAGGCAGCUCGCUGGAACGUUACUGACGCUGAGACGCGAAAGCGUGGGGAGCAAACAGG